CACAGAGUAUAUUAAACACAGAGAUAUGAAGCUAAGAAAACACAGUAAAUGUUAUCUUCUGUAUUUAAAAUAGGUUCAAGAAAAGAAAUUCAAGAUCCAAGGACUGCUUGUGAAGAAUUCUGACAGACAUGAUAUUUGUUACUGAGAGCAAUUCAAAAAAGGAAGCUUCUGUGUUUUGAUGACAAACAAGGAAAUACGAACAGAAAACACUUUGACAGAAAAACAAAAAGAGAAACAACAAAAAACCAACAACUACUGGAAGUAACAUUUUAUGUGACAACAGAUCUGACUGAAAUAGAAGAAACAAAAUAAAAGAAAUUGAAUUUAUUAAGUGAUUAUACUCUACUUGAAAGAUCUUGAAGAAAUGUAGUAAAAAAGUACAAUAAAGUUUGAAAUUGAAGCCUAUAAUCAUAUUUUCACAAGUAUCUGUGUUGAAAAAAUAUAAAGUUUAUAGUAUCUAUAUUUAUUUAUUUGUUUAUUUAUUUUUGCUUUGGAAUGAAAACAGAAUUAAAAAUGUUUCCACUGUCCAAUGUCUAUUAUCUUUAUUUCAGCUAUGAAUUAAAAAUAUUUUAAAACAACAUAGAAUUAAUCUGGAU
rnacentral:lncRNA from 1 species